CAGCAGCCACGGUAAUACAGAGGGUGCGAGCGUUAAUCGGAUUUACUGGGCGUAAAGCGUGCGUAGGCGGCUUCUUAAGUCGGAUGUGAAAUCCCUGAGCUUAACUUAGGAAUUGCAUUCGAUACUGGGAAGCUAGAGUAUGGGAGAGGAUGGUAGAAUUCCAGGUGUAGCGGUGAAAUGCGUAGAGAUCUGGAGGAAUACCGGUGGCGAAGGCAGCCAUCUGGCCUAAUACUGACGCUGAGGUACGAAAGCAUGGGGAGCAAACAGGAUUAGAUACCCCCGUAGUCCCUGUCUCUUAUAC
rnacentral:rRNA from 1 species